AACAUAUUUUUUUGGUAUUUUUGGAAUUAAAAUAAAUGCAAAAUUAAAAUGGACAAAAUAUGGUCAAACCUCAAAUUCAAUUCAAAUCAAUUUCAACAAGUCCAAUUAAAUUCUCAUAGGUCUAACAUGGUCAAACAAGGUUUGACAAAUUUUUGCAACAAUUUUUGAAAUUAGAAACUAUUUUAAAACAAUUAAAAACAAUAAAAAUAACACAAUAUGAAUUAAAAUCUCAAAUAAAUCUCAAAUCAA
rnacentral:lncRNA from 1 species